GGAUACUGUGCAAUGUGUAAGUUGAUUUCCUGUUGCUUACAAGAUGUAGUAGUCUCAGCUCCAGCACAUCUUCCUUCAUGAUGCUUUGCUUCUUGCCAUGAUGGACUGAACCUCAGAACUGGCAUGAUCCACAUGAAUUAAUCCUACCCAAGCCAUCUCACAUGUCAUUGUAUGAUGAAGAGCAAUUGCCCUACUUGAACUUGCUUGGAGUUUCUGAGUGUGGUCCAUAGCAUUUACUGAAGGUGGCAGAGAGAGGACCGGAUCAUAGAGGCAGAACUCCUUCAAAGAUAUGAUGCUAGUAGCCACCGCCUGUUUGAGACCACAGGUACCAGGAACCAGAGGUGAACAAGAUCAAGCCAGUCAACAUUGUAGCACCGAGUAGCCUUUUUUUUCCUUUGAAGAAUAUAUAUCAAAAUCUUUUGUCCAUUUCGACACUGUCUUGUCUUUUGCUGGUGAAUUGCAAACAUCCUCUGUUUGUUCUGGAUACCAAGGCUUCAGCAGUUCACAGUGGAGCAUGGAGGAUAGCCCGGCAUGACACAUAGUCACUCCUGUCAUGGCAGCUGC
rnacentral:lncRNA from 1 species